ACUCCUACGGGAGGCAGCAGUAGGAAGGUCUUCCGACAAUGGGCGCAAGCCUGAUGGAGCAACACCGCGUGAGUGAAGAAGGGUUUCGGCUCGUAAAGCUCUGUUGUUAAAGAAGAACACGUAUGAGAGUAACUGUUCAUACGUUGACGGUAUUUAACCAGAAAGUCACGGCUAACUACGUGCCAGCAGCCGCGGUAAUACGUAGGUGGCAAGCGUUAUCCGGAUUUAUUGGGCGUAAAGAGAGUGCAGGCGGUUUUCUAAGUCUGAUGUGAAAGCCUUCGGCUUAACCGGAGAAGUGCAUCGGAAACUGGAUAACUUGAGUGCAGAAGAGGGUAGUGGAACUCCAUGUGUAGCGGUGGAAUGCGUAGAUAUAUGGAAGAACACCAGUGGCGAAGGCGGCUACCUGGUCUGCAACUGACGCUGAGACUCGAAAGCAUGGGUAGCGAACAGGAUUAGAUACCCUGGUAGGAUAGCG
rnacentral:rRNA from 1 species